rnacentral:lncRNA from 1 species
UGAGUUCAGGAAGUAGCUGCUGUAAAAGGAGAUUUUCUGGUACCAGCUGAGGAGCAUUUGUGGAGGAAUCAUGGAAGGUGUUUUUGUGGGGUGGCAGUUGACUUAGGAAGGUCACAGGGAAGAGGAAAGAGUGGUUGCUAAUGUCUAAUUUAGAUUUUGGUCUUUUUAGAGAGAGGAGGUGUAUGGACUGAUUCAGAUUUCUUCUGAAGGCAAGCAGUGACGAGGAAGUCAGAAGUUAAGAUAGUGAUAUUCCCAGAUAUUCCUCAAACCAGGGUUCAGAGUCUCCUCCUGGUGGGGUCAUGGAUUUAUACCUAUCUGAUGGUUUUGGAUGUGACCAGCAGCUGCAGAUCUCAAGAAGAUAUGUGGUGCAUCUUUUGCAAAGAUCAGUUCCCAAACAUAAGGUUCUGUUUUCCUCUGGCUUCUUCAUUUAUGUUAGACCUGGAACACAAUAUAUCUUUGCAGUUAAUAGAGGAUACAUGAUCCAAGAAAGUUAA